CAAGGUGAACAGCCUCUGGUCGA
rnacentral:siRNA from 1 species